CAGCAUACCUAGGGCUCAUUCCGAUUGAUUGGGAGAGGCGGGGACAUUAUUUAAGCCUGUGUGUGUGUGGACUCGUUCUGUUUGUCUUCUCCUGCUUUACGUUUUUGCCGCUGCCCUAGGUCGUCAGUCUGCUGCGGUGUGAGCUCACCCUGUCUGAUUGUGGAUGUCCCUGUGUGGGUGGAUGUAUGCCUGGGCUGCUGGCGUUGGGUGUCUCGUGUGGGCCGCUGUGUGUGUGCGCAAGGUGGGUGCCUCCGCCGGGGUCGGAGGGCGACCUGUCCUGUAAUUCGCUGGACCAGGCUGCACCCUCAUACAUGCUGCUGUGGGGCUAUCGUGGUGCCACGACUUAUAAAAGGGCCAGUAUUCCCCCGGCGCGUUCUUCCCCCCAUUGAAACUGUUCUGGAUAACGGCAAAAGCUGUUCUGGAUAACGGAAAAACUGUUCUGGACUCUGGCAAAACUGUUCUGGACUCUGGUAACCCUUGUCUGAAUACUAGUGCAAGAAGUGGUUUGGAUAUAUUAUAUUAACUGUUGUACAUAUUGCAUGUGGGUUUUUCUUGUUAUUUUGUUUGAUUUUGUUUACUCUU